rnacentral:rRNA from 1 species
AUUGAACUGAAGAGUUUGAUCAUGGCUCAGAUUGAACGCUGGCGGCAGGCCUAACACAUGCAAGUCGAGCGGAUGAAGGGAGCUUGCUCCUGGAUUCAGCGGCGGACGGGUGAGUA